GUGCAGCAUAGCAGCUACUGAAAUUGCCACACAUGGUGUUGAAGAACUUGAAUUAGGUGCCCCCUCUGCUGAUUGGGAGUCUCUCAACUUCUGGCUGCCUGUCGAUAGGAUAGAGAUUGGAGCCAUUUGUAAAAAAUUUAGUGAUUUCUAUUGUCUGGAUUCUUACGUGACUCAGAUACCACUGAUGAAUAAGCAAGAAAAAACUGCUGAAUGGAAACGUUCUGCAACUGAGAAAAGGCAUGAGUUCGAGCAACUAAUUGUUCUGCAGUGGAAACAUAUCAACAUGCUCAACGAAUUCAAACCAGGCGAUUGCUGUGAAUUACAAGUGGACAAAUAUGCUAUUAACGGUCUCGACAACAAAGAUAUGAGUCCACAAGCGUACUUCAAUCUUAUUUCUGAUUAUACGAAUGACACAAAACCACUCAAUAACAUCGCGGCUACCUAUUUCGAAGAUGUUUGCCACAACGUAAUUUCAGGAAUUGGUUUUGGUCCUGGUGGGUUGAGAAGGGACCACUUUGCGAAUGUCAGAGUGGGGGUUUCGUAUUUAAUUCCAGGGCAACAUUUAACCUUUGGAAUCCCAGGAAUUCCUUCAAUGAUAAUCGAUUACUACAAUCCAGGAUCUCAACUUACAUUCAAAUGGUUCAAAGACCAUAUCAUGUGUCAAGAACACCCUUCCAUCUGCGGUCAUCAUAGUCCAAGAAGGAAAGAAAGAAUAAGGGAAAUGAAAAAACAUUACAAAAAAGCUGGCGGAAAAAAAGCCAGGCGCAAGAAAACUCAAAACAGAGUUUGACACACGUACAUGACAGGACGCGAUCGCUUUGAUUUUCAUUUUCAAGAAAUAUCACCAUUUUUAAUCUUUUGAGAAGAUAGAAAUUGACGAAACUGUUUAACUAUUUUCUGAUGUUCGCGUGAUUUCUUGGAAUUGCCAUAAUCACUUACAGCCUU